UACGUAGGGGGCAAGCGUUGUCCGGAUUUAUUGGGCGUAAAGCGCUCGCAGGUGGUCCGAUGCGUCGUGCGUGAAAGACCCUGGCUCAACUGGGGGUGUCGUGGCGAUACGGUCGGACUGGAGGCCAGUAGGGGGAUGCGGAAUUCCGGGUGUAGUGGUGGAAUGCGUAGAGAUCCGGAGGAACACCAGCGGCGAAGGCGGCAUCCUGGACUGGUCCUGACACUCAGGAGCGAAAGCGUGGGGAGCGAUCCGG
rnacentral:rRNA from 1 species